rnacentral:rRNA from 1 species
UGCCGCAGUACAUUGACUGUGCAAAGGUAGCAUAAUCAGUUGGCUUUUAAUUAAAGUCUGGUAUGAAUGAAAAUAUGGGUAGUGACUGUCUUUAAUAUAUUAAUUUGAACUUAUUAAGCAAGUGCAAAUACUUGCACGUUUCAAAAAGACGAGAAGACCCUAGAAACUUGGAAUAGUUUUUGUUGGGGCGACARAAUUACAUUUAACUAAUUUUAAAUACAUGACAUUGAAUUGAAAGAAUAAGUUACU